UACAGAGGGGGCAAGCGUUAUUCGGAAUUAUUGGGCGUAAAGGGCGCGUAGGCGGUCGGGCAAGUGGAAGGUGAAAUCCCCAGGCUCAACCUGGGAACUGCCCUCCAAACUGUUUGACUUGAGUCCGGGAGAGGUGAGUGGAAUUCCCAGUGUAGCGGUGAAGUGCGUAGAUAUUGGGAGGAACACCAGUGGCGAAGGCGGCUCACUGGACCGGUACUGACGCUGAGGUGCGAAAGCGUGGGGAGCAAACAGG
rnacentral:rRNA from 1 species